AUGCAGCCACCAGACCUCCCAGAGCAAUUCUACGAGGUGGAGCCACCUUCAGCAAUCCCUGGAGGCUGUCCCUUCAUCCCCAGGAGGCCACCACCCAAACCUGCGAUGCAUCCGUUGGUCCCUACUAUAACAAAAGGAAACAAGGAGUCAAACUAUGAGGUGCUCAUGGAUCCAGAGCCCAACAUUUACUGCAUAAUCUACCCCUAAGUCUAGGGGAAGCAGAGAUCCUUUCUCUGGAAGUCCUAGAGAAACCGUGGUCAAUUCGAUGACAUUUACUGUGUGCAUGUUAUAAUCUAAUCAUUCUCUGUCACCUUUGUUGAUUUAGUGAUGUUCUAGUUCAAUGGGUUGGUCAGGCUCUGGACCUUAGCUCCCACCAAAUCUUAGGCUUUUGAGUCAU